UAAAAAAAAUGCUAAAUAUACAUGAAGAUGUGAAAAACAUGUUGGAUUUGUGGAAUCGCUAAUGAAUGACCUAAAUGCCGGGAUCCAAAAUCUGGUUAGAUUUCACAACGUCAUAUUAAUUAUUAAUUUAGUAUUUAUAAUACGUUAAAAAAAAAAAGUUGAAAAUCUUAUAAGAAAAAAAAUAAUCUAAAUAUACAUGAAGAUGAAAUGUGAAAAACAUGUUGGAUUUGUGGAAUCGCUAAUGACCACGGUUAAAUGGCGGGAUCCAAAAUCCGGUUAGAAUUCACAACGUCAUAUUAAUUUAGUAUUUAUAGAACCUUUAAAAAAAAGAAAAAAAAUAGAAAGAGACGAAAACCAUUUUCAACAAAAGUUUAUAAAAA
rnacentral:sRNA from 1 species